GACGUAGGGCGCGAGCGUUGUCCGGAUUUAUUGGGCGUAAAGAGCUCGUAGGCGGCUUGUCGCGUCGGCUGUGAAAACCCGCGGCUCAACUGUGGGCGGGCAGCUGAUACGGGCAGGCUAGAAUUCGGUAGGGGAGACUGGAAUUCCUGGUGUAGCGGUGAAAUGCGCAGAUAUCAGGAGGAACACCGGUGGCGAAGGCGGGUCUCUGGGCCGAUAUUGACGCUGAGGAGCGAAAGCGUGGGGAGCGAACAGG
rnacentral:rRNA from 1 species